UCCCCGGAUGAGGACGACAAUGGAAGGCAU
rnacentral:piRNA from 1 species